UCUAGAGUCCACCAGACACAGGCUGGAGUGCCUUCCUCGUCUCGCCACACACACACACACACAGCUUUGAUGAUGCCCUGCCCAUGAGAGGUGAUUACUUUGGAGACCAGCAAGUAUUGAAAUCCUUGAGAUUCACGGCUUUUGUAAUCCAGCAUGAAAUCUUCCAGACAUAUGAAUAGGCUUCUCAGCCAGGAAAAAUAUACAGAAGAGAACAGAGGGACUGCAAGUUUUGGGGAAGGACUGAAAGAACACUCACAUCACAGGAGUCCUUUCCACCCUCCAGGAAGCCGAGGCAGAACAUGUUGUUGGUGAUCAUGCCUGGGUAGGAAUUUCUGCACGAACUGGCAGAAAGAACAGGGGCUUCCAGACACUGAAGGAUUGAUGGGUAUUUGCCUGUUGUGAGCAAAAAUGGAAAAACAUUCUGUAUCUUCCAUGAAAUCUAUAAUUCUUUCAAUUUGCUAAACAUUUGUCAUUUAAAAGUACUUUUGAUUUGUUUA